UUGUUCAUUUGAAGAUCAAAAUUGCCUUCAAAAGAAUCAAAACCAACCCAUCAAUUACGAUCAGAAUAAAACGUCACUUCCCAUUCCCAAAGCAUUCUCGCGUCACUUUUCUAACAAUUCAUCACAUCCGUCCGUUUGUAUUGACAGACAUCAUAUCCGUCUGUUGUUCAUCAUUACCAACGGACCCGAAACCAUGCGAGCCCCCAAAAGCUCUAUACGACGUCGUUUCUCUAAUCGAACCGUUUCAAGAACUUUAAUUAAUGUUGGUAUUGGUGGGUCCCACAUCAUGUCUUUAAAUCACGAUCUCAGGAGCGUGUCUCACACCGCCGUCCACGACGCGUGGCAUCAAAACUUCACACUGAAACUAAAAGGUUCAGUUCUUUUUCGUGUACGUCUGCAUCUCCUAAUUCGCACUUCGUGUUAUCUCCUUCCGCCAUAGCUAAGAAUGAGAAACUGAAAUAAGAAACCGAAAACAACGAGAAAUUGAAGAUCAAAUGAAAUAAGGAAACAAAAUGAACUAGAAUUCGAAAACAGUUUAGUUACAGUUACUAAAACUCUCAACUUCUAUUUUUAGUUAAACGGUUACUAAAAAUGUAUCCCAGACAGCGCUCCGCCGCCGCGCGUGGCGCUGCCGUGAACCAGCCGCGACCGCCGCCGUUGAACUCCGUCUUCAACAUUAUACCAGUGCACGACCUAUUAACGGACCAUCCUUCUCUCCGGUAUCCAGAAGUACGCGCUGCCGCAGCAGCCUUACGCACCGUCGGAGACCUACCGAAGCAUCGUUUCAUGGCGUGGCAACCGGAAAUGGACCUUCUGGACUGGCUCAGGUUGUUAUUCGGGUUCCAAAACGACAACGCGCGGAACCAGAGGGAGCAUUUGGUUCUCCACCUCGCAAACGCGCAGAUGCGACUCGAACCACCGCCGGCAAUCGUUGACGCGCUGGACGGUAGCGUUUUACAGCGUUUCCGUAAGAAGCUUCUUCACAACUACACUGCGUGGUGUUCGUAUCUAGGUUUGAAAUCCAGUGUGUUGCUAUCGCGCCGCCGUGACCCGACGGAUCUUCGCCAUGAGUUGCUUUACGUUUGUCUUUACCUUUUGAUUUGGGGAGAAGCUGGUAACCUUCGUUUUGUUCCCGAGUGUAUUUGCUUUAUUUAUCAUUUCAUGGCGAAGGAACUUAAUUUAGUACUUAAUGCACAUAUAGACCCUGAUACUGGUGCUCCAUUUAUGCCAACUGUUUCUGGUGAUUGUGGUUUUUUGAAAUCUGUUGUUAUGCCUAUUUAUAAUACUAUUAAGAUUGAGGUUGAUAGUAGCAGAAAUGGAAAAGCUCCACAUUCUGCCUGGAGGAAUUAUGAUGACAUAAAUGAGUAUUUUUGGAGUAGGAGGUGUUUGAAGAAACUUAGAUGGCCUUUGAAUUUUGAGUCUAGUUUCUUUGGGACGACUCCUAAGGAAAAACGUGUGGGGAAGACUGGGUAUGUUGAACAGAGGUCAUUUUGGAAUGUUUAUAAGAGUUUUGAUAGGCUCUGGGUUAUGCUGAUUUUGUUUAUGCAGGCUGCUAUUAUUGUUUCUUGGGAGGGUACUGAGUAUCCAUGGGAAGCAUUGCAGAGAAAGGAUUGUUCGGUCAAAAUGUUGACUCUUUUUAUCACUUGGAGUGGUUUAAGGUUACUUCAAUCGGUGCUUGAUGCUGGAACUCAAUAUAGCUUGGUUACUAAAGAGACUGCUUGGCGUGGAGUAAGGAUGGUGCUCAAGAGCUUGGUUGCCAUUGCAUGGACUGUUUUGUUUGGGGUUUUUUAUGUGUUAAUUUGGAAGGAGAAGGGUUCUAAUCGAACUUGGUCCCAUGAGGCGAAUCAGAAGAUUUUUACAUUUCUUAAGAUUGUUUUCUGCUUUCUUAUCCCAGAAAUGUUGGCGGUGGUGCUAUUCAUAGUGCCGUGGUUACGGAACUUCAUUGAGAAAUCAGAUUGGAGUAUAGUAUACUUGUGGACAUGGUGGUUUCAUACCCGAAUUUUUGUGGGUCGGGGUGCGAGACAAGGGCUUGUAGAUAAUGUGAAGUAUACUACUUUCUGGAUAGGAGUAUUAGCUGCAAAAUUUUCAUUCAGUUAUUUUUUUCAGUUAAAACCUCUAGUUGCUCCUACAAAGGCACUAUUGAAACUUAAGGGCGUUAAUUAUAAAUGGCAUGAGUUUUUCAAUAACACCAACAGGGUGGCAGUUGUUUUGCUAUGGUUACCUGUUGUUUUGGUAUAUUUCAUGGAUUUGCAAAUAUGGUAUUCGAUUUUCUCUGCAUUUGUUGGGGCCACGACGGGUCUGUUCUCGCAUUUGGGUGAAAUUCGGAAUAUCUCACAACUCAGGCUCCGAUUCCAGUUCUUUGCCAGUGCAAUGCAGUUCAAUCUGAUGCCAGAGGAGCAGCUGCUAAGCCAGCAAGCAACACUGCUAAGGAAGCUUCGUGAUGCCAUCCAUCGGUUGAAAUUGCGAUACGGACUUGGUCAAACCUUCACAAAAAUUGAAUCAAGCCAAGUAGAUGCUACCAGGUUUGCCUUAAUAUGGAACGAGAUUAUCAUAAAUUUCAGGGAGGAAGAUAUCAUCAGUUAUCGAGAACUAGAGCUCUUGGAACUGCCACCAAAUUGCUGGAAUAUUAGGGUAAUUCGAUGGCCAUGUUUCCUUCUCUGCAAUGAGCUACUACUUGCUCUCAGCCAGGCAAAAGAGCUGGAAAAUGAGUCUGACACGUCACUUUGGUUGAGGAUAUGCAAGAAUGAGUAUCGCCGGUGUGCUGUCAUUGAAGCUUAUGAUAGCAUUAAAUACUUAUUUCUUAUGGUUCUCAAAGUUGAUAAGGUAGAGUUCUCCAUUGUGACUAGUAUAUUCAGGGACAUAGACUACCACAUUCAGGCGAGUAAGUUAACAGACAUGUACAACAUGUCUCUGCUACCAGAGCUACAUGCUAAGGUAAGUGAAUUUGUUAAACUUUCAAUACAGCCAAAAAAAGAUUUGAAUAAGGCUGUAAAUUUGUUGCAAGCCUUGUAUGAAUUGUGUGUCCGAAGAUUUCCAAAGGUAAAGAAGACUGCCACCCAGCUGGUUGAGGAAGGUCUGGCGCUACAAGGUCCAACAACUGAUGGAGGACUGCUCUUUGAGAAUGCUAUUGUGUUUCCUGAUGCUGGAGAUGAAGUCUUUACCAGGCAGCUCAGGAGGUUGUAUACAAUUAUCAGUUCAAGAGACUCGAUGCAUAAUGUUCCAUUGAAUCUCGAGGCCCGACGCCGGAUUGCUUUCUUUAGCAAUUCUUUGUUUAUGAACAUGCCCCGUGCUCCCUAUGUUGAAAAAAUGAUGGCUUUCAGUGUUUUGACCCCAUAUUACGAUGAGGAAGUUUUGUAUAGCAAAGAGUCUCUUCGAAAGGAGAAUGAGGAUGGCAUUACUACUUUGUUUUAUUUGCAGAAGAUUUAUGAAGAUGAAUGGAAUAAUUUUAUGGAAAGGAUGCGUAGAGAGGGCUUGAAAGAUGAGGAUGAUAUCUGGACAACAAAAGCCUUGGACCUUCGCCUUUGGGUAUCUUAUAGAGGUCAAACACUGUCUCGCACCGUCAGGGGGAUGAUGUAUUAUUAUAGCGCCCUUAAGAUGCUUGCCUUUCUUGAUUCAGCAUCUGAGAUGGACGUAAGACAGGGAUCUGAGCAUAUUAUUUCAUCAUAUGGUUCGACAAAUGAAAACAAUAGUAUGUAUAGUCUACCCUCAGACGGGCAUCCAUCUCUACGGAAAUUGAGAAGGGCAGAUAGCAGUGUGUCACUGUUAUUCAAGGGGCAUGAGUAUGGGAGUGCGCUGAUGAAGUUCUCAUAUGUUGUGGCAUGCCAGAUGUAUGGACGCCACAAGGCAGAGAAGAAUCCUCGAGCUGAUGAUAUACUUUAUUUGAUGAAAAAUAAUGAGGCCCUUCGAGUUGCAUAUGUUGACGAGGUUUAUUUGGGGAGGGAAGAGACAGAAUAUUACUCUGUACUUGUGAAGUUUGAUCGGCAAUUGCAAAGUGAGGUUGAGAUUUAUAGGAUCAGGUUGCCUGGUCCUUUAAAACUUGGCGAGGGGAAACCUGAAAAUCAGAAUCAUGCCAUGAUCUUUACGCGGGGUGAUGCAGUUCAGACCAUUGACAUGAAUCAAGACAAUUAUUUUGAGGAGGCUCUGAAAAUGCGAAAUCUGUUGGAGGAGUUCAAUGUCUACCAUGGUAUUAAGAAGCCAACCAUUUUGGGGGUCCGAGAGAAUGUCUUCACAGGAUCUGUUUCCUCACUUGCUUGGUUUAUGUCGGCUCAAGAGACAAGUUUUGUAACACUGGGCCAGCGAGUUCUGGCAAGCCCUUUGAAAGUACGGAUGCACUACGGUCAUCCAGAUGUGUUUGACAGAUUCUGGUUCUUGUGUCGGGGCGGAGUCAGCAAGGCCUCUAGAGUGAUCAAUAUCAGUGAAGAUAUUUUUGCUGGUUUCAAUUGUACAUUGCGAGGUGGCAAUGUUACACAUCAUGAAUAUAUACAGGUUGGUAAAGGAAGAGAUGUUGGCUUGAAUCAGAUAUCGAUGUUUGAGGCCAAGGUCGCAAGUGGCAAUGGCGAGCAGGUCCUGAGCAGAGAUGUCUACCGGCUAGGUCAUAGAUUAGACUUCUUUCGCAUGCUUUCAGUGUUCUACACAACUGUAGGAUUUUACUUUAACUCCAUGGUAACUGUACUGACAGUCUAUGCCUUUCUUUGGGGCCGCCUUUAUAUGGCCCUCAGUGGCAUUGAAAAGGAAGCCCAGAGUAGUGCUAGCAACAAUAAAGCCCUUGGGACAAUCAUAAAUCAGCAGUUUAUAAUCCAGCUUGGUAUUUUCACUGCGCUCCCAAUGGUUGUUGAAAACACUCUUGAGCACGGGUUCCUUCCUGCAGUAUGGGACUUCUUGACAAUGCAGCUGGAGCUUGCAUCACUGUUCUACACAUUCUCUUUGGGAACUCGUACACAUUUCUUUGGUCGUACUAUACUUCAUGGUGGUGCAAAGUACCGAGCCACUGGUCGUGGUUUUGUGGUGGAGCACAAGAGUUUUUCUGAGAACUAUCGACUAUAUGCGAGAAGCCAUUUUGUUAAGGCUAUUGAACUUGGAAUUAUUUUAGUUGUGUACGCUUCUCAUAGCCCCUUGGCUAAGGAUACUUUUGUGUACAUAGCUUUGACACUCUCAAGUUGGUUUCUUGUAAUUUCGUGGAUAAUGUCUCCUUUUGUCUUUAAUCCUUCUGGGUUUGAUUGGUUGAAGACUGUAUAUGAUUUCGAAGAUUUUGUGAAUUGGAUUUGGUAUCCAGGUGGGCCAUUCAAAAAGGCAGAAUACAGCUGGGAAACAUGGUGGUACGAGGAGCAAGACCAUCUAAAAACAACUGGUAUAUGGGGAAAGCUGUUGGAAAUUAUUUUAGACCUUAGAUUUUUCUUCUUUCAGUAUGGCAUUGUUUAUCAGCUCGGUAUUACAAAUGGAAAUCAUAGUAUUGCUGUUUACUUGCUGUCUUGGAUAUUCAUGGUUGUUGUUGUUGCGAUUUAUAUCAGCAUAGCAUAUGCACGGGAUAAAUAUGCUACAAAGGAGCACAUAUAUUAUCGACUAGUGCAGCUUCUUGUGACUGUGGUCACAGUUCUUGUAGUUGUUCUCUUGCUAGAGUUCACUCCCUUCAAAUUUGUUGAUCUUAUUACAAGCUCGAUGGCAUUUAUUCCCACAGGAUGGGGAAUGAUUUUAAUUGCCCAGGUGCUUAGGCCUUUUCUGCAGGCAACUAUAGUGUGGGAUACUGUAGUUUCCUUAGCACGACUCUAUGAUUUACUGUUUGGGAUUAUUGUUAUGGCCCCCAUGGCAGUGCUCUCAUGGUUACCUGGAUUUCAAUCAAUGCAAACUAGGAUUCUCUUCAAUGAAGCUUUCAGCAGGGGUCUCCAGAUAUCCCGAAUAGUUAGUGGCAAGAAAUCUGCUUGAGAUGUCAUUGGAGGUCUUACCUAAAACAAAAGCCGUGUUCAUUGGCGCUGAGAGAGAGAUGUACUUUUGUAUCUUCCCAUGUAGGCUGUAUCAACUUGAUAGUGUACCAGUACAAGUCACGGUUCAUUGUAUUGCCAUGACAAAUGGAUGCCUACAGAUUAUAAUGUUAUACAAUAUCAAGAGCCAAACUUUGGUACUUAUCAGGUUAUACAAUAUCAAGAGCCAAACUUUGGUACAUGACAUUGUCGUUGAUCCAAUCCAUUAAGGAAGGAGAGGCUGAUUUUGAUUGUCUCCGAUAUCAGUACAUCACCAUGCUUCCCAUAAUCCCAUUGUAUCAUUCAUCUGCCACAUGUUGUGAGUCUCUGUACUCUAGUAGAGGAAUAUCAGGCUGUGAAUAUCUGUAUAUAUUGUCCAAUAUCUAGUGCAACCUACUUAUUAGCUAAUUAAGAUGAACAAGAGACAGCUAUGCUUCCUAGUUAGUUUUCAGUUAGGUAAAGACUUUAAGAAUGCCUUCUUGCUUGGAGAUUUGUGUGAGUACUAUGACGAUUUUCUGCUCCUAA